UGCGUAGGGUGCGAGCGUUAAUCGGAAUUACUGGGCGUAAAGCGAGCGCAGACGGUUUGUUAAGCAGGAUGUGAAAUCCCCGGGCUUAACCUGGGAAUAGCAUUUCAGACUGGGAGUCUAGAGUACUUUAGGGAGGGGUAGAAUUCCACGUGUAGCGGUGAAAUGCGUAGAGAUGUGGAGGAAUACCGAAGGCGAAGGCAGCCCCUUGGGAAUGUACUGACGCUCAUGUGCGAAAGCGUGGGGAGCAAACAGG
rnacentral:rRNA from 1 species